rnacentral:lncRNA from 1 species
CCAGCAGGGACGUUGGUCCAGCGUGGCCCUCCCAGGCCAGCCCAGGGAUUUACGCUCCGCCCUGGCUCUGCAAGCCCUUUGUGAGUCUCUGGUGGCCAGCUCAGAAUGACCAAAGCAGGGCGGGCUUUCUAUGGUCAUUUCUUUACCGCACAUGACAUAAACCACCCGAGAGCCCCAGUGAACGGCAGGAGAAAUGAACAUCUUUGGGAAAGUUUGGUGGAAAACCAGCCCGUAGAGCCGUGAGAGACACAGGAUUCACUUUUGGCACUCUCGCCUGGCUCAGCCACCUGGAAUCAAGGAAGACAGCACAGUGCUGACCCCACGCUCCUGCCAAUGCUCACUUCCUCCCCUGGGGUCAUUUCCCAGGAGCAGAGCUGCAGGCCGGGGCCUCUGUCUGCCUGUGGUAGGCACCCACACUCAUUCUCAUCUGGUUCCUUGUAAGUCUUCUAUUGCAAAAUCUUCUCAGGACUUGGAGACAUGCUAUUCUCGGUUUCCCCAAUAACAAAAUGAAAGUGCAAAGGUGCCGUGUCAGCAGGUGGGCCGUGGACUUCGCACCUGGGUGAUGGUGAACCUGCCUCCAAAAUUGCCAUGGGUCCAAAGAGGCGCCAAUUCCUGGCAAAACUGAUGACAUUUAUGAAUUUUAUUUCUGGUUGCAACCUGAUUUUGUUAUGGACCUAUACUGACGUCA